AUUGAACGCUGGCGGCAGGCCUAACACAUGCAAGUCGAGCGGCAGCGGGACCUUCGGGUUGCCGGCGAGCGGCGGACGGGUGAGUAAUGCCUAGGAAUCUGCCUGCUAGUGGGGGAUAACGCGGGGAAACUCGCGCUAAUACCGCAUACGUCCUACGGGAGAAAGCGGGGGCUCUUCGGACCUCGCGCUAACAGAUGAGCCUAGGUCGGAUUAGCUAGUUGGUGGGGUAAUGGCCCACCAAGGCGACGAUCCGUAACUGGUCUGAGAGGAUGAUCAGUCACACUGGAACUGAGACACGGUCCAGACUCCUACGGGAGGCAGCAGUGGGGAAUAUUGGACAAUGGGCGAAAGCCUGAUCCAGCCAUGCCGCGUGUGUGAAGAAGGUCUUCGGAUUGUAAAGCACUUUAAGUCGGGAGGAAGGGCUGUAGGCUAAUACCUUGCAGUUUUGACGUUACCGACAGAAUAAGCACCGGCUAACUUCGUGCCAGCAGCCGCAGUAA
rnacentral:rRNA from 1 species